UACGUAGGGUGCAAGCGUUGUCCGGAAUUAUUGGGCGUAAAGAGCUCGUAGGCGGUCUGCCGCGUCGGCUGUGAAAUCCCGAGGCUCAACCUCGGGUCUGCAGUCGAUACGGGCAAACUAGAGUAUUGCAGGGGAGACUGGAAUUCCUGGUGUAGCGGUGAAAUGCGCAGAUAUCAGGAGGAACACCGGUGGCGAAGGCGGGUCUCUGGGCAAUAACUGACGCUGAGGAGCGAAAGCGUGGGGAGCGAACAGG
rnacentral:rRNA from 1 species